AUGCAACUGACGAGUCCCAAAUAGGACGAAACGCAUGUCUUGGAU
rnacentral:hammerhead_ribozyme from 1 species